UACGUAGGGACCAAGCGUUGUUCGGAUUUACUGGGCGUAAAGGGCUCGUAGGCGGCCAACUAAGUCAGACGUGAAAUCCCCAGGCUCAACCUGGGAACUGCGUCUGAUACUGGAUGGCUUGAAUCCGGGAGAGGGAUGCAGAAUUCCAGGUGUAGCGGUGAAAUGCGUAGAUAUCUGGAGGAAUACCGGUGGCGAAGGCGGCAUCCUGGACCGGCAUUGACGCUGAGGAGCGAAAGCUAGGGGAGCAAACGGG
rnacentral:rRNA from 1 species